rnacentral:rRNA from 1 species
UGGCGGCGAGCUUAACACAUGCAAGUCGAACGAUGAAGCCCAGCUUGCUGGGUGGAUUAGUGGCGAACGGGUGAGUAACACGUGAGUAACCUGCCCUUAACUCUGGGAUAAGCCAGGGAAACUGGGUCUAAUACCGGAUAGGAGCGUCCACCGCAUGGUGGGUGUUGGAAAGAUUUAUCGGUUUUGGAUGGACUCGCGGCCUAUCAGCUUGUUGGAGAGGUAAUGCCUCACCAAGGCGACGACGGGUAGCCGGCCUGAGAGGGUGACCCGCCACACUGGGACUGAGACACGGCCCACACUCCUACGCGAGGCAGCAGUGGGGAAUAUUGCACAAUGGGCGCAAGCCUGAUGCAGCGACGCCGCGUGAGCGAUGACGGCCUUCGGGUUGUAAACCUCUUUCAGUAGGGAAGAAGCGAAAGUGACGGUACCUGCAGAAGAAGCACCGGCUAACUACGUGCCAGCAGGCGCGGUGAUACGUAGGGUGCGAGCGUUAUCCGGUAUUAUUGGGCGUAAAGAGCUCGUAGGCGGUUUGUCGCGUCUGUCGUGAAAGUCCGGGGCUUAACCCCGGAUCUGCGGUGGGUACGGGCAGACUAGAGUGCAGUAGGGGAGACUGGAAUUCCUGGUGUAGCGGUGGAAUGCGCAGAUAUCAGGAGGAACACCGAUGGCGAACGCAGGUCUCUGGGCUGUAACUGACGCUGAGGAGCGAAAGCAUGGGGAGCGAACAGGAUUAGAUACCCUGGUUGUCCAUGCCGUAAACGUUGGGCACUAGGUGUGGGGACCAUUCCACGGUUUCCGCGCCGCAGCUAACGCAUUAAGGCCCCCGCCUGGGGAGUACGGCCGCAUGGCUAAAACUCAAAGGAAUUGACGGGGGCCCGCACAAGCGGCGGAGCAUGCGGAUUAAUUCGAUGCAACGCGAAGAACCUUACCAAGGCUUGACAUCUUCUCGAUCGCCGUAGAGAUACGGUUUCCCCAUUGGGGCGGGUUCACACGAGGUGCAUGGUUGUCGUCAGCUCGUGUCGUGAGAUGUUGGGUUAAGUCCCGCAGCGAGCGCAACCCUCGUUCCAUGUUGCCAGCACGUAAUGGUGGGGACUUCAUCGGGAGAACUGCCGGGGUCAACUCGGAGGAAGGUGUGGACGACGUCAAAUCAUCAUGCCCCUUAUGUCUUGGGCUUCAGGCAUGCUACAAUGGCCGGUACAAUGGGUUGCGAUACUGUGACGUGCAGCUAAUCCCAAAAAGCCGGUCUCAGUUCGGAUUGGGGUCUGCAUCUCGACCCCAUGAAGUCGGAGUCGCUAGUAAUCGCAGAUCAGCAACGCUGCGGAGAAUACGUUCCCGGGCCUUGUACACACCGCCCGUGAAGUCACGAAAGUUGGUAACACCCGAG